CAGCAGUCAAGAAUAUUAGUCAAUGCUCGUCAGAGUGAACUAGCUAACUGAAAUCACAGACAUGUCAAAAUUGGCAUAGUAGGUGAUAACAUAAGGGAAAAUAAUGAUGAUACCUUAUUAUUAGUGCUGUCCAAAACUCGUGCCAGAAGACUCGGUAAGGCGAGAGGCGCAAACGUUAGUCGUCUUAAUCAGGCGUAAAGGGUUCGUAGGCAGCUUAGAACAUCAAUUUUUUUAUUUAUAUUAGUACAAAGUAAAAUCAAAGUUAUUCAUCGAUGAUUGGUAGUGCUUUCAUCAAUAGAUAUAAUUUUGUUUAAACUAAAGAAAAAAUUAGAUUAUUAAAAGCUAGGAUCUUGUUGGGGUUAUAUCAAAUAAUACUUAAGGAAGAGCUGGGAUGUAUAGAUCUUAUGGGGAAUACUAAGGCGAAGGCUAUUUUUCCACUAAGGAUCGACGCUGAGGAACGAAGGGGAGAACAGGAAAAAGGAUUAGAUACCCAAGUACCUCUCCCUGUCAACGAUGAAUGGUGAAUUUUUAGGAUUUUAAUAUAACUAGUGUGUAUGCUAACGCGAUAACCAUUCCGCCUUGUGAGUACGGUUGCAAAACUGAAAACAAAAAAAUUAGUCGGUCUCGAAGCAAACGAAGUGAAGCAUGUUAUUUAAUUCGAUAAUCCGC
rnacentral:rRNA from 1 species